CCAAAAAUCAAGUCCCAAUGUUCAGAGCCAAUGCGGCUGAGGCAUCCGCAGUUGCCGUGAUUCAUUCUGAUCAAAGUCUUUGUUUCUUUCUCCUAAUUUCUUUUUCUCUUAGCCUGAAACAGUAGUAGAGAACAUAUCUUCUCCACAAGUGUGUGCUAAAUGAACAAGCACCUGAGGUAAAGGGGACGGUGGAGAGCGAAGAGGGACAGCGGUGCCGCGGAGUGACUGGAGGAACGAGGGUACCACAAACAGAAACCGCUGGAGAGGGUAACAGAUCCUAGAAGAGUAUCUUCUCAGAAUCAAGCGCUCGACAUCAGGAAACCACAACACUCAGGGACUUCUGCAAAUGAUUUUGGUGGAAAAUCAUCUGACACAGUCAUAAGGGCUCGGUUUGCAAGAUCUUCUCUGGAAGCUGUUAACUUGAGGAAAUGCUGAUGAAUAUCCCCAGCAGAAGAGCCAUCAUGUCGGCACCACCAUCACCAGCAGUCCUUUCUACAGAAUGCAAACUUCACUACUGGACAAGCAAGACUUCCCUGAUGAAAGGAGGACAGCAGCGCUGACAAGACAAGGAGCAGUCCGUUGAAUCCAGCGGUAUUUUCUGCCAAAGUUGCAUGCACUGUCAGAGCAACAGCCUCAGUCAUAAGAUGCAGCACAGAAUCCGUAACGAGCUUCAUCUACUGUUCAACCAAAUUUUUAAUUUGCUUGUGCCUGAGGGGUAAUGUGUCUGAUUCUCUUCUAGGUUUGCUCUCUGUUAUUCUGUCCCUCUGCCUCCCAAUUCUGCCCUUAGCUUUAAAUUUUAAAUUACUUUCCUACAAUGUGUCCAUUAUUUUGUCCUAAAUUUCUAUCUUCUGUGUGCUUCACGUUGUAGUUCUUGUUGCUGUCCACUUUUAAUACCAGUAACUGCUCUGAAUUUUAAAAUAAAACUGUCACUAAUCCUUGUCCAG
rnacentral:lncRNA from 1 species